GCAGUGGUGGUUCAGUGGUAGAAUUCUCGCCUGCCGCGCGGGAGGCCCGGGUCCAAUUCCAGGCCAUUGCA
rnacentral:tRNA from 1 species